GAGUUUGAUCUUGGCUCAGAACGAACGCUGGCGGCAUGCCUAACACAUGCAAGUCGAACGAGACCUUCGGGUCUAGUGGCGCACGGGUGCGUAACGCGUGGGAAUCUGCCCUUGGGUUCGGAAUAACUCAGAGAAAUUUGAGCUAAUACCGGAUGAUGACGUAAGUCCAAAGAUUUAUCGCCCAAGGAUGAGCCCGCGUAGGAUUAGCUAGUUGGUGAGGUAAAAGCUCACCAAGGCGACGAUCCUUAGCUGGUCUGAGAGGAUGAUCAGCCGCACUGGGACUGAGACACGGCCCAGACUCCUACGGGAGGCAGCAGUGGGGAAUUUUGGACAAUGGGGGCAACCCUGAUCCAGCCAUGCCGCGUGUGUGAAGAAGGCCUUCGGUUGUAAGC
rnacentral:rRNA from 1 species